CCGCCCAGAGCGGCGGGCGCGGGGCGUUCGGCGGGGCCGGCUGCGGCCGGGGGGGGCGCGGCGGGGGGUGCGGGCCGGGCCGGGCCGGGCCAUUGGCCCUUAACGCGCGUCGUGCGGGGGCGGGCGGCGCUGGGCCGGGCGAUGCGAGGCCGCGGGGGUCGCAGCCCCGGGCGGGGUGGCGCUGGGGCCCGCGGGGCGGCCCGUCGCUGUCCCCGGGGACCGCAGGCGCCGCGCUGCCGUGUCACCCGGGGGCGCGGCAAAAGGCACCGCGCGGGGCAAAGAACAAACCUGUUAAAGAGUUGGGUCCAUAUUCCAGUUACCCAAUCCAGGUUAAGAUACUUCACAUCUGAUCUAAAAAUGUUCAACUCUGCAGACAUGGUCUUUUCAUUGGAUAAUUUAUUUUAUGAAAGACCAGAUACAAGACAAAGGUAUCUAGAAAAUGAAGAGCCUAAGAUUUGGUCUAUUGCACCUGCUCCAGCUAUUGCUGAAAUUCCAGCUGCAGAGGACUUACAGAGGGAACUGGAAAGAAAUACAGCCAACACUCAUACGGCUUAUUUAAAAUGA
rnacentral:lncRNA from 1 species